rnacentral:lncRNA from 1 species
GAUUGGGGAGGGGCAGGAGAGGAGGGAUGUAAACAAAGGCAAACUCCCUUAGUUUCCAUUCCAUUGCUCCCAAACUCCUUCAAACCCUUAGGGAGCACCGGCCAGCUCGCUAGGCUUGUGCUGGGUCUGGACUCCAUUUCCCAGAGUUCCUCGGCGCCUAGUGCGUGGGUGCACGUCGGAGCGCGCCUGCGCGCUGGUGGCUCCGCGUCCCGGGGCAGCGGAAGUUCACGCAGCGUUCAGAGCCGGGGCUGUUGCUCCACCCGCGCUCGCGGGGGUCUUUUGCUGUACACCUUCCAUUCCAGGCAGUUUGCGAGCGCAACACCCGGCCGGCCCCGCUGCUUCUCCUUCCGCUGCUGUCGCUGGGUCCGAGGCCACCCCCACGCGCCGGGGACUUUGCCUGCCCCUCACGCUCCGCCUUGCUGCACCUGCGUGUCCUGGAGCGCGCCGCCGGGCUCCCCGCCAAUUCCCCCGGCAAAGCCCCGGUCCCACUUUGGCUUGGUGGAGAGAAUGCCCUCUGGCCGGGCUUCCUGGUCAACCCUGCGGCGGUUCCGGCGGCAGAGCGGGGCUGGUGGCCCCCAGCAAGGAGCCCGGGGCGGCGGGCAGAUGGCUCAGCCUCGCUGCCCCCACUCUGCACGCGCACAACCCGCAAGUCCCCGCAGUGCCACUCCCCGCUGGUUGUCCUACAGCUCCUGCAGCUGGAAUGUGUUUCCCACGGCAGUGCUCGUGUCCUGCUACUGUGUGAAGAGCUGCCUAGAGACAGCUGUCGGCCCACCUGCUGAAGAAGCGUAUUGCAUGGAUGUUCAUCUGGGAGACGGCCGAGAAUAGGAUGUGUCAACUUGGCAGGUCAUUCCCUGUGCUCCUGGACUUGCUAG